GAUGAACGCUGGCGGCGUGCCUAAUACAUGCCAGUCGAGCGAACAGAUAAGGAGCUUGCUCCUUUGAAGUUAGCGGCGGACGGGUGAGUAACACGUGGGUAACCUACCUAUAAGACUGGGAUAACUUCGGGAAACCGGAGCUAAUACCGGAUAACAUUUAGAACCGCAUGGUUCUAAAGUGAAAGAUGGUUUUGCUAUCACUUAUAGAUGGACCCGCGCCGUAUUAGCUAGUUGGUAAGGUAACGGCUUACCAAGGCGACGAUACGUAGCCGACCUGAGAGGGUGAUCAGCCACACUGGAACUGAGACACGGUCCAGACUCCUACGGGAGGCAGCAGUAGGGAAUCUUCCGCAAUGGGCGAAAGCCUGACGGAGCAACGCCGCGUGAGUGAUGAAGGGUUUCGGCUCGUAAAACUCUGUUAUUAGGGAAGAACAAAUGUGUAAGUAACUGUGCACAUCUUGACGGUACCUAAUCAGAAAGCCACGGCUAACUACGUG
rnacentral:rRNA from 1 species